AGCUCGGCGGUCGAGUGGUAAGACGUCUGCUCUAGAAAGCAGGAGGUCGUGGGUUCGAGUCCCACCCGAGUGA
rnacentral:tRNA from 1 species